rnacentral:rRNA from 1 species
AACGUAGGUGGCGAGCGUUAUCCGGAUUUACUGGGCGUAAAGGGUGUGCAGGCGGGGGUCCAAGUGGUGUAUGAAAUCGCUCAGCUUAACUGGGCUAGGUUAUGCCAGACUGGACUUCUAGAGUGCGAGAGAGGGACGUGGAAUUCCGGGUGUAGUGGUGAAAUGCGUAGAGAUCCGGAGGAACCCCAGAGGCGAAGGCGGCGUCCUGGCUCGCAACUGACGCUCAGACACGACAGCAUGGGGAGCGAACGGG